CUGGCGGUUCCCGCGGGGGCUCACGUAGGAGGAGAUGUGUUUUCCUGGCUGAGUGCAACGCGCUGAGCAAGUGGUUCUGGUAUUUUGCAGUUGCUCCUGUUCUGACUCACCGUUGCUCGUCGGUAACCCCGGCCCCAUCACCUGUGUUUGCUAAAAAACGUCGCAUCCCAUCGCGGCCUGGCCUGCUGGGAGAGGGGCCGUGCAGGGAGCAGAGUGCCCCGUCCCCUGCUCCCCAUGGGGCCAGCAGCUGGGCAGUUUCACGGGGCCAGGCACCGGGCCAUGCUGCUGGCAGGUCUCUGGUCCUCCUCACCCGAGGUUUGCUUUUCAGCUGCUUGCAGCUUUCCCAGAAAUUUGGAUCCAGGGCGCGGAACUCAGGGUGGGAGGAGGCCGUGUGGGCUGUGCCGUCCGGCCCCGUCUUCCCCCGGGAUGCUUCCUCCCCCUGCUCCUUCCUCUGUUCCUGCUGGUGUCACCGUAGAAAUGCCAGGCCCGGGGGGAGCAGAGCUGCGGCUGGAGGCUGCGUGGUUUGGAGAGAUCAAGGCGCAGGAGCUGCCCAUUGGCGCUUGGAGCCCGGCUGAGGCGAAUAGCAGGGGGGACUGCAAACCCACUGCCGCCCCCGGGAGCUGGCUCCCUCUCCAUCAGACGGACAUUUCCUCCGGCUCCUGUGGUUGCUGAAGCACGUUUGGUGUUUUGGGGAGCUCUCUGCAGCGGUGCCGUGGGGAGGCAGUGGCCCCACCACCCCAAACCCCAAAAGACGGGGCAGAGCCUGGUGCACCAAAGUGACCCGGGCUGCACCCUCAUGGGGGGUACCCGUCCCCUCGCUUGUUCCCUGUUUUCUUUUCCUUUUCCACCCGAGAUCAGCCAUUGUCUGUCCCUGAGAUGUGCAUUCAUGCGGGAUCUCAUCCGAGGCAGGGCUGCCUGUUGGUGAGGAGGCAAGUGCAACGAGGAGCGACGUGGAACCGCCAGCGUGCCGGCACUGCCUUUCCUUUGCCUUCCCAUUGUCUUUGGCGGCGGCUGCGCGCGGCUCCCCCCGUGCCCAUUGUGCUGAGGCGCUGGGAGACGUGCCAAGGGCAGGGAAAUAAUUGGCGACAAACCAAGAGUCUCGGAAAUAUGAAAUGUUUGUUCUCCAUCAUAGCGGGGUGAAUUUUAUCUUGUCUGCAGCCUGGGUGCUUUGGGCAUUCGGCGCGCCUUGCCAACUUGUAGGGGUGUACUGCGGGUUUCACAGAUUUUUGUCCUUUUAAAAUUCUAAUGACUAUUUUGUUUAAUUCUCCAGCUUCUGGAACCACAUGAUUACAUGAGAUCUUAGCUUUGAUUUUUUUUUUCCCCUUUAAAUUACAUUGAGCCUCUAGCCUCAUGUUUGCGUGCACACACACAAACCCCAGCCACAAAUAACAAAGGCUGAAGGAAGAAAGGAAAAAUAUGAAGGAACCCAGCAUGCAUUAUUGAAACGUUGUGGUUUCCAGGGCAGAUUAGUGAUUUUUCAGUACUUAGCUUCAGCAUGUGGGAUAAGAAGGUGCUGCCCCUGCCCCGGCUGGUGCAAGAAGGAAACCACCUGCAGUUUUUCCUCCAGCCUCCCUCCUUGCUGGUGAGGCUCCAUGCGCACGGAGGUGACGCCGGCUCCCGAUGCCCUCCCAGGGAUGUGGGCACACAGUGGGGUCAGGGACUGGUGGUCCCCUGGGUUCUUCCCAUGCUCUGGAGAGGGAAAUGCCCGGGGCCAAAUGGCAGCUGCUUGCCCUGCCCGCAGCCAGCCAGCACACACGCCCUGGCCAGCCCCCGGUGCCCCCAGUGCCCGAGCCGGUCAGUGCUCUCGCGCAGAGCCCUGGGCGCUCAUUUGCUUGUGUUCUGCUCCUCUUUAUUCCUAGCGUUAGAGCAAAGAGGGAGAUAAAAGGGAGAAAUGAAAGCUUUACAGCUUCCUAGGCUUCCUCCAGCAAAUAAAAGUCCCGUCCAGCUGAAAUGCUAAUUAAGA
rnacentral:lncRNA from 1 species